AUAUUUUCAUUUUUAUCUUCAGGCAGAUCAUCUUGUUUCCUACUUAAAAUAUUUGCAUCAUUCCCAUUAUUCACAAAAAACAUGAGGUUGUACUUCAGAACCAUGCACGCGAUUUUUUGCAACCUUUCUAGCCACCUCAUCACCAGUAUUUUCAAAGGAUUCCAUAUUCUGCCCUUCAAAUUUCCUAACCUCUUUAUUCUCACUUAUUCUUUCUUGNNN
rnacentral:lncRNA from 1 species